GGUACGUGCACUAUUUGUGGGGUGGAAGAUGAAAGCACUUUUCAUGCUCUGGUGAGGUGUCCUAAAGCUCGUGCUCUGCGGUUCGCCUUGAGAGACUCUUGGAAUUUUCCGGAUGAAGAGUUUUUCAAAUGCUCGGGUCCAGACUGGCUUUUGAGUUUGCUAGAUCAGUUGAGCCUACAACAGCGAGAACAAAUUUUAUUCCUCUUCUGGCGAGCUUGGCAUCUGAGAAAUGAUUUAAUUUUUGGAAAAGGAAAAGAAUCC
rnacentral:rRNA from 1 species